rnacentral:snRNA from 14 species
AUAUUUUCUGGUAGUAGGGAUACAUAUGGUUCUUGAACGAUUCAAAGGAUUUGGAAUUGACCUGGGUAUGACCAAGUAUAGUACAGUGAGGCCUGUCCUUUACACUCUGGACAGGCUGACCCCUGUGAGUUUCCCCAAAUGCAGGAAACUCAGCUGCACAAUUUUGUGGCAAUGGAGAACUGCUUUCUUGCUUCCCCCUA